rnacentral:rRNA from 1 species
GACAGAGGGUGCAAACGUUGCUCGGAAUCACUGGGCGUAAAGGGCGCGUAGGCGGGAAUGUAAGUCGGGCGUGAAAUCCCCAGGCUCAACCUGGGAACUGCACUCGAAACUGCGUUUCUUGAGUAUCGGAGAGGAAAGCGGAAUUCCUGGUGUAGAGGUGAAAUUCGUAGAUAUCAGGAGGAACACCAGUGGCGGAAGGCGGCUUUCUGGACGGUAACUGACGCUGAG